UACGAAGGGGGCUAGCGUUGCUCGGAAUCACUGGGCGUAAAGGGUGCGUAGGCGGGUCUUUAAGUCAGGGGUGAAAUCCUGGAGCUCAACUCCAGAACUGCCUUUGAUACUGAGGAUCUUGAGUUCGGGAGAGGUGAGUGGAACUGCGAGUGUAGAGGUGAAAUUCGUAGAUAUUCGCAAGAACACCAGUGGCGAAGGCGGCUGACUGGUCCGGUUCUGACGCUGAGGCGCGAAAGCGUGGGGAGCAAACAGG
rnacentral:rRNA from 1 species